rnacentral:rRNA from 1 species
AGAGUUUGAUCCUGGCUCAGAAUCAACGCUGGCGGCGUGCCUAACACAUGCAAGUCGCACGAGAAAGUGGAGCAAUCCAUGAGUAAAGUGGCGCACGGGUGAGUAACACGUGAAUAAUCUACCUCCGAGUGGGGAAUAACUGAGAGAAAUCUCGGCUAAUACCGCAUAACACUUACGAGUCAAAGCAGCAAUGCGCUUGGAGAGGAGUUCGCGGCCGAUUAGCUAGUUGGCGGGGUAAUGGCCCACCAAGGCGAUGAUCGGUAUCCGGCCUGAGAGGGCGCACGGACACACUGGAACUGAAACACGGUCCAGACUCCUACGGGAGGCAGCAGUGGGGAAUUUUGCGCAAUGGGGGAAACCCUGACGCAGCAACGCCGCUUGGAGGAUGAAGCCCCUUGGGGUGUAAACUCCUUUCGAUCGGGAAGAUAAUGACGGUACCGAUAUAAGAAGCCCCGGCUAACUUCGUGCCAGCAGCCGCGGUAAUACGAGGGGGGCAAGCGUUAUUCGGAAUUAUUGGGCGUAAAGGGUGCGUAGGCGGUUUGGCAAGUCUUAUGUGAAAUCUAUGGGCUCAACCCAUAGCCUGCAUGAGAAACUGCCGGGCUUGAGUAUGGGAGAGGUGAGUGGAAUUUCCGG